UAGGGCCAUAUCAUGUUGAAACACCAGUUCUCAUGCAAUCACCAAAGUUAGGCAACAUUGAGCCUGGUCAUUAUCGAGAUGGAUGACCACUUGGAAAUACCAGGUGCUGUAAG